ensembl:lncRNA
GAAAAAAAGUUAUAGGGGAAAAUGUCAAGUGGUUGAAUAUUAUACAAUAAAGAUUUCCAUCCGUAGAUAAAGUGAAACGAAAGGGACACUUAGAGCAGCGGGGGACCAAACUGUACUUCUCCAAGACGUCGGAGGUGGGAGCCCAACCCCGGGCGGCGAAAACAUAGCUAAUGUUAUGUAGAGCCCGGUCACUUGGAGAAGUUAGAAAUCGACACAACACAAACGUAGUAAAACGAAGAAGCAUAGACGAAAUUCUCAAAAUAAUUGUGACCAAACCAUCAUAUCGGAAUCGUUCUAUUCUACGCGAGGAAAAGGAGAAGACAGCAGCUGUGACUUUGGAUGGCAAUAAUGACAGACCGUUGUUUAACCCCUCGUUGUUGGAUGCCCCGGAUUCCUACCGCAAACUCUGAACAUUUCCAUCUGGAUCUUCGCAACUAGCUAACCUCAAUCCCGGGUGACCACUCCUGGCUAGCGUUUCCAUCCCGGAGCAAACACCAAUCAGCCUGAAGCUAGCCCGGACAGGGCUCCUGUGCUACCACCGAAGCCCACUCCUGGGCUACAAUAUCCGGACCCCUUCUACUGCCGGUAUGGGGCACGAAACCCCGCCGAUCCUCUACGACCGACAUACCGACAUAAUCUGCCCGAGGAUUCCAACAAGCCCCUCAUGCACGACGCCCGCUGAAGGCCCAUUCUGCUAGGCCUGCUUGCUACCUAGAGCUACUUGAAACCCUACUAAUUCCACGACUGGUCUAUCGACAUCACCGCACGAAGAGGCAAAAACAGACUUACCCCCAUCACGACGUCCCCCAAAACUGGGACAUGCUUAACACCCCUCAAUCUCACACAAAUUAUCAAUGAACUCCAAAUCCGUAAACACGGGCAUCCUCAUAGAUGUCAUCCUAACUAACCCGCCCUCCAAAUACACCUCUGCUGUUUCCAAUCAAGAUCUCAGCGAUCACUGCCUCAUUGCCUGCAUCCGUAAUGGGUCUGCGAUCAAACGACCACUCCUCAUCACUGUCAAACGCUUCCUAAAACACUUCUGCGAGCAGGCCUUUCUUAUCGACCUGGCCGGGGUAUCCUGGAAUGACAUUGACCUCACCCUGUCAGUAGAUGAUGCCUGGCUAUUCCUCGCCAUCUUAAAUAAGCAUGCCCCAUUCAAAACAUUUAGAACUAGGAAUAGAUAUAGUCCUUGGUUCACUCCAGACCUGUCUACCCUUGACCAGCACAAAAACAUCCUGUGGCGUUCUGCAUUAGCAUCUUAUAGCCCCCGUGAUAUGUAACUUUUCAAGGAAGUUAGGUACAAAUAUACACAGGCAGUUAGGAAGGCGAAGGCUAGCUUUUUCAAACAGAAAUUUGCAUCGUGAUGGAAUUAACUCAAAAAUGUUCUGGGACACUGUAAAGUCCAUGGAGAAUAAGAGCACCUCCUCCCAGCUGCCCACUGCUCUGAGUCUAGGAAACACUGUCACCACUGAUAAAUCCACUAUAAUUGAGUAUUUCUCUACGGCUGGCCAUGCUUUCCACCUGGCUACCCCUACCCCGGUCAACUGCCCGGCACCCUCCACAGCAACCCGCCAAAGCCCCCACCAUUUCUCCUUUACCCAAGUCCAGAUAGCUGAUGUUCUGAAAGAGCUGCACAAUCUGACCCCUACAAACCAGACGGGCUAGACAAUCUGGACCCUCUCUUUCUAAAAAUUAUCUGCCGGAAUUGUUGCAACCCCUAUUACUAGCCUGUUCAACCUCUCUUUCAUAUCGUCUGAGAUUCCCAAAGAUUGGAAAGCUGCCACGGUCAUCCCCCUCUUCAAAGGGGGUAACACUCUCGACCCAAACUGCUACAGACCUAUAUCUAUCCUACCCUGUCUUUCUAAGGUCUUCAAAAGCCAAGUUAACAAACAGAUUAUCAACUAUUUCGAAUCCCACCAUACCUUCUCCGCUAUGCAAUCUGGUUUCAGAGCUGGUCAUGGGUGCACCUCAGCCACGCUCAAGGUCCUAAACGACAUCAUAACCACCAUCGAUAAGAGACAUUACUGUGCAGCCGUCUUCAUCGACCUGGCCAAGGCUUUCGACUCUGUCAAUCACCACAUUCUUAUUGGCAGACUCGACAGCCUUGGUUUCUCAAAUGAUUGCCUCGCCUGGUUUACCAAUAUAUACAAAAAGGUUACCCAUAUUUAAAGACCUGAGCUACAUUUAUUUAUGAAAUGUACUAGUUUAUUUAGGCAAUUCUAAUAUUUCUUUAGGCUUGGCCUAUUUAGUAGGCUAUUUCGCAGCAUAAAGCUAUAUUUGUCAGCAUGAAGCUGAGUGACUCACUCAUUUGUGGCUUUGGAACAAAAUAAAUAAGUACCAACAUUAUUCUGAUCAUCUUAAUAAAGAAAUGUUUUGACCAAGUUAAUCUGCUCAUGUUGUGUGUUCAAUAAUUUGUGACAUUGUGGUUACAAUGAAGAAUGUAAACGAAAUAUAUCAAAUAAAG